rfam:Camelus ferus unplaced genomic scaffold scaffold1057, whole genome shotgun sequence.
GAGGGUAGAGUUCGGUGGUAGAGUGUGUGCUUAAUAAGCAUGAGGUCCUGGGUUCAAUCGCCAGUACCUCCA